rnacentral:rRNA from 1 species
CUACGGGGCGCUGCAGUCGAGAAUCUUCCGCAAUGGGCGCAAGCCUGACGGAGCAAUGCCGCGUGAGGGAUGACGGCCCUAGGGUUGUAAACCUCUGUCAGAAGGGACGAAGAACGUGACGGUACCUUCAGAGGAAGCCAUGGCUAACUACGUGCCAGCAGCCGCGGUAAUACGUAGAUGGCGAGCGUUAUUCGGAUUUACGGGGCGUAAAGGGUCCGUAGGGGGUCUGCCAAGUCUGAUGUGAAAUCCUGCGGCUCAACCGCGGAACUGCAUUGGAAACUGGCGGACUAGAGUGUGCGAGGGGUGAGCGGAAUUCCUGGUGUAGCGGUGGAAUGCGUAGAUAUCAGGAAGAACACCGAUGGCGAAGGCGGCUCACUGGCGCAUCACUGACCCUGAGGGACGAAAGCGUGGGUAGCAAACAGGAUUAGAUACCCGAGUAGUC